UGUGAGUGAGAAGACAGGUCAGCUGACGGAGUCACAUCAGAUCAGAAGAGGGAAAAGUCCCAGACUCUACCAGAGUCAAGGGAGGUGAAGUCCUUGUUCUGAGAAAGUGGCAGUCUGCGGGGAAGCUACAUCAGGUCAGCAGAGGGAAAAGUCCUGGACUCUGCCAGAGUUUAAGGCCCGUGGGAUCCCAUCUUCCACCAUCCUGCUAACACUUCCACCUGCUCCUUCCAACAAGAGUUAUCAUGCCUCACUCUCCAAAGCGUCCACGCCUCACAUUUGAGCCAGGCUUUAAGACCCAAAGUGAGAUACAAGGCCCGCUGAUGGUUCAGGAUCCCAUACCUGAGAAGGAGGAGGAGGAGGAGACCUUCUCCAUUUCUUCUUGCUCUUUUACCUUCUCCUACCCUUCUUCCCUCCCUUCCUCUCCUCUGAUAUUGGGCACACUAGUGGAGAAGCAGCAGGAGGAGAAAAAGUGGG